AAUCGUAUGGCGCAAUAGUAGCGCGUUUGCUUUUUGUAGCGAAAGGACCUGGGUUCGACUUUCGGUGCGACUU
rnacentral:tRNA from 2 species